AUUGAUAGGAACGAUUUCCGAAAGACAUAGGAACGAUUAUUGAAAAGCGUAGGAACGAUUUUUGAAUAGGAACGAUUAUUGAAAGGCGUAGGAACGAUUUUUGAGUACGCGCAUUGUAAAGCCGUAUGGGCUCUUUGAUUUGUUUAUAUUUUUGCGUAACUAAAUUAUAUUUGGUAAUUCAACGUAAUAAUCGAAGAAAAUUCUGACAAGUUUUAAUUUUUAAAGCAUUAAAGCCUUGGUAAAUUAACAUUUAAUAAUGUAUUCAAAUAGAAGAAAUCAUGAAGUCAAUAUAUUAACAGAGGAAUUAAAAUAUUUUCGUGCUUGUAGUCAGGAAAACGAAUUUAAAAAAGUUUUUAUUGAUAAUGUAAUAGGAUAUGGAGUUUUCACUAUACGAGAGUUUAAAGCUGGCGAUCCUUUGUUAGAGUAUAAAGGAAAUCUUAUAACAAGAAAAGAAGCUAAAGAAUUAAGCAAAAGUUAUUCUGCAAAAAAUAAAGGAUGCUUUAUUUUUGAUGUUUACUGGAACAAUAAAAAUAUGAGCAUUGAUGCUACACAAUCAACAUGCAUGGCUAAAUUUAUUAACGACUCUCCAGAUAAAUAUGCCAAUUGUCAACCCAAGACAUGCGUUGUAAAUGGAAUACCCCAUCUUUUGUUAUAUGCAAAAAAGGAUAUUGCUAAAGACUCAGAACUUAGAUAUAACUAUGGGGACAGUUCUAAUCAACAAUGGAGAAAAUUGGCAAAGUAUCAGGAACCAUUUACUAUGAGUGAAGUUAAUGCAUAUCUACGAGGACAGCCUUUGCAGAAAAAUCGAAUUCUAACAGCAUCAAUGUUGUUUUCAUCAUUUAAUAAUAAAAAGUCUGAGUUGAAAAAGGAUUUAAAUAGUUGCAUUUUGUCAUCUAAUCAAAUGAAAAUCAAUAAUUUCAAAAAAUGUAAGGAAGAUUUACCUGAAAAAAGUAAUAAAGAUACAAUUUCAGGAGGCUUAUCACAAGCAUUUGGUUUUGAGAAGUGUACUGAGUUAGAAGAACAAUAUAAUCAAGCAUUAAAUAAGUCCUAUUUAAGUUUCAGCAAUGAAGAUAUUUUAUUACCAGAUGAAACAUUUUUAAAAAACUCAUCUCAGAUAUAUAGUUUAGAAGAAAGUGCUUGUGAAGAUAACUCUGAAAAUUUGUAUUCAAAUUCAGUUAACAGUAAAAAAGUUUCACCUCGAAUGAUAGUUGCUGCCAGAUGCUUGACAGAUAUAUCAAAAAGAAAUGAUUCUGAAACCAAUAUCUCUAUGUUCACUAGUGAAACUUCACUCACAAGCAAUGAAGACUUACCUGGAAGAAGUAAUAAAGAUGCAGUUUCAGGAAGCUUAUCACAAGUAUUUGGUUUUGAGAAGUGUACUGAGUUAGAAGAACAAUAUAAUCAAGCAUUAAAUAAGUCCUAUUUAAGUUUCAGCAAUGAAGAUAUUUUAUUACCAGAUGAAACAUUUUUAAAAAACUCAUCUCAGAUAUAUAGUUUAGAAGAAAGUGCUUGUGAAGAUAACUCUGAAAAUUUGUAUUCAAAUUCAGUUAACAGUAAAAAAGUUUCACCUCGAAUGAUAGUUGCUGCCAGAUGCUUGACAGAUAUAUCAAAAAGAAACGAUUCUGAAAGCAAUAAUUUGAUAAAUGCUAAUGAAACUCCACUUAUAACAUGCUUAGAACAGAGCGCUGAUGUUUGUAAUUCAAAUAAUAAAUUAUUAAAUGGGUUAGAAGAGAGCACUGUGAUUGAUUGGGGAUGUAGCCAACAUUUAAUCUUUGAAGACUCAACAAAAAUGAUUAAUGAAGAUACAAUAUUAGCAGAUAUAUUUCAUAUAGACAACCAAAACAAUAAAAUACAAUGUAAUAGAGAAACACUUACCGAAAAUUCAUCACAAAUAUAUUGAAACCAAUGAAAGUUUCUUUCAGAAAUUAAUGGCAGUGAAGUGGUACCUACAGUUGCAGCUCAAAAUAAUUCUACUUAUAGAGCAAUACGUGGUAUAGAUACAAAGACGUGGUAUUAAAAAAUGCUACAGUUAAAAAAAAUCGUUUUACGAUUUUUUUGAGGUAAUUGUGAGCCUAAGGCUGAUGAUAAAUAGUACAUCUGGCUCCGUAUAUAUGUAUACACACAAACACACACAAGCUAUUUACAAAUCGAUAUUUCUAUAUUUAGGGUAAACUUUAGGCAAAGAAUGCGAGGAACUGUUAAACUGUUAUGAACAUAUUAUGCACUAUACCAUAUCAUGCACUACACGUGGCGCUCAGUUUACUCGACGAUCCAACUUAACAGGAUAUUAUCCAUUUUUCUAAUAUAUAUACAUAGAUGCAAAGUAUUCAAAAUGAUUAUAUUGUUAUUUAUAUAUUUAGGAUACAUUUAAACUAAAGACUAUGAAGAGCUGUAAAACUGCUAUUGGCAACAGUUGAUAAUACUAGACGCAUGUGUUAGUAAGUAAUUUGAAUCUCUGGUUGGAAUUCUUUUAAAUGCUUUUAUGCUUUUUACCCAUUGUUGCUGUGGAAAAGCUCAAUACCAAAGAUUUAAUAAAGGCAGAGUUAGGCAGGGUCGAAGGAUAUUUUUCGAACUAAUAAUCCAUUGUAGUGAAAAACGAACUAGUUCAAUCUUUUAAAAAAAAAAAGUUUUUUAGAUCAUAAUCGUCUUUGAAGUAAAAAAGUAAACAUGCCCAGUGGGCACAAGAAGCGUUUUAAACGUCUAAAUCACGUAUUAAAACGUUUUAAUACAUAUUCUAGACGUUUAAAACACGUCUCGUGCCCAUUGGGUGAUUUGAAGUAAAUUUCCAUUUGUUUUAUUUUUUUCAAGAAAAAAAAUUUGAAACUAAA
rnacentral:misc_RNA from 1 species